GUUUCUCUGUAGUGCAAUGGGCAGCGUGUUGGACUUCUAAUCCAAAGUUCGUGGGUUCGAACCCCACCUGCAACG